rnacentral:rRNA from 1 species
GAUGAACGCUGGCGGCGUGCCCAAUACAUGCAAGUCGAGCGAACAGACGAGGAGCUUGCUCCUCUGACGUUAGCGGCGGACGGGUGAGUAACACGUGGAUAACCUACCUAUAAGACUGGGAUAACUUCGGGAAACCGGAGCUAAUACCGGAUAAUAUAUUGAACCGCAUGGUUCAAUAGUGAAAGACGGUUUUGCUGUCACUUAUAGAUGGAUCCGCGCCGCAUUAGCUAGUUGGUAAGGUAACGGCUUACCAAGGCGACGAUGCGUAGCCGACCUGAGAGGGUGAUCGGCCACACUGGAACUGAGACACGGUCCAGACUCCUACGGGAGGCAGCAGUAGGGAAUCUUCCGCAAUGGGCGAAAGCCUGACGGAGCAACGCCGCGUGAGUGAUGAAGGUCUUCGGAUCGUAAAACUCUGUUAUUAGGGAAGAACAAAUGUGUAAGUAACUAUGCACGUAUUGACGGUACCUAAUCAGAAAGCCACGGCUAACUACGUG